rnacentral:rRNA from 1 species
GAUGAACGCUGGCGGCGUGCCUAAUACAUGCAAGUCGAGCGAAUGGAUUAAGAGCUUGCUCUUAUGAAGUUAGCGGCGGACGGGUGAGUAACACGUGGGUAACCUGCCCAUAAGACUGGGAUAACUCCGGGAAACCGGGGCUAAUACCGGAUAACAUUUUGAACCGCAUGGUUCGAAAUUGAAAGGCGGCUUCGGCUGUCACUUAUGGAUGGACCCGCGUCGCAUUAGCUAGUUGGUGAGGUAACGGCUCACCAAGGCAACGAGGCGUAGCCGACCUGAGAGGGUGAACGGCCACACUGGGACUGAGACACGGCCCAGACUCCUACGGGAGGCAGCAGUAGGGAAUCUUCCGCAAUGGACGAAAGUCUGACGGAGCAACGCCGCGUGAGUGAUGAAGGCUUUCGGGUCGUAAAACUCUGUUGUUAGGGAAGAACAAGUGCUAGUUGAAUAAGCUGACACCUUGACGGUACCUGACCAGAAAGCCACGGCUAACUACGUGCCAGCAGCCGCCGUAA